rnacentral:lncRNA from 10 species
UGGGAUUACAGGCGUGCACCACCCAGCUAAUUUUUGUAUUUUUAGUAGAAACAGGGUUUCGCCAUGUUGGCCAGGCUGGUCUUGAGCUCCUGACCACAGCCUCCCAAAGUGCUGGGAUUACAGGCGUGAGGCUGUGCGACCGGCCUGCACCACGUGUUUUUUGUUGGUCCUUAAACCCUCUCCAUUUCCUCUUUGUUGCUGUCUCUGUGCUCCAAAAUGCAGUCUGACCCACAACCCAAUUCUUGUUAACCCUGUGAAGAUGGCUUCAGAUCAACUCACAGCUAAUUUGAUUUCAAGUAUAUACCUGGCCACUUCCUAUCUCCUCCAAUGGAUUGCUUUGAACGUGUGAAAUUAAAUAAUUCAAACUUAAAGCUGUUGGAACUUGAAAGUAUUCUGAGCCUUGAGAGCGAUGUCGCUGUGCAACCUGAGUCACAUGGCAUGCAGCUGCAACUUCUGCCUUUUUUCCUUUUUUAAAGGAAGAAAUUUGAUGAUUUGUCCUGUAUAAUUUCCCACAUUCUGUAUUUGGCUCAUUACAUCCUCAUGCUGAACACAGUAUUACCUAUGAGUGUCAACGAGGGUUUCCUUCAUAAUACGCAAAAACAGCCUCCAAUAAAGAAGCACUGUAGAGGGCAAGGCUGAUAUAGAAUGGCACAUGUCAUUCACAA